GCUGAGGCAGACCACUUUUUGUGUUUCAUAAACAGUAGACAGUUACCCAAUACUCAUGCUCCACAGAGAAGGGGACUGCAAAUGAAAACACAAAGGCUCAAAAAAGAAGAGGGAGGACUGAUUAGUCAGGACUUGAUGGCAUGAAAGCCAAAGCCAUCACUCACGUGGAUGUUUUAGAAGUCUGCUGUGCCUCAAAGUAAGAAGAGUUGUGACCCCAAAAUCCUAGGUCUGCAGGGCACCUGGGAUAUGACAUAAAAUUAUCUCAAGCCAUGC
rnacentral:lncRNA from 1 species